rnacentral:rRNA from 1 species
UACGGAGGGUGCAAGCGUUAAUCGGAAUUACUGGGCGUAAAGCGCACGCAGGUGGCUGAGUCAGUCGAUUGUGAAAGCCCUGGGCUUAACCUGGGAAUUGCAGUCGAUACUACUCGGCUCGAGUAUGGGAGAGGGCAGUGGAAUUCCCGGUGUAGCGGUGAAAUGCGUAGAGAUCGGGAGGAACAUCUGUGGCGAAGGCGACUGCCUGGACCAGCACUGACAUUGAGGCACGAAAGCGUGGGGAGCAAACAGG